rnacentral:rRNA from 1 species
UACGUAGGUGGCUAGCGUUGUCCGGAUUUAUUGGGCGUAAAGAGCGUGUAGGCGGCCAGGUAGGUCUGCUGUGAAAACUCGAGGCUCAACCUCGAGACGUCGGCGGAAACCAUCUGGCUAGAGUCCGGAAGAGGAGAGUGGAAUUCCUGGUGUAGCGGUGAAAUGCGCAGAUAUCAGGAAGAACACCCGUGGCGAAGGCGGCUCUCUGGGACGGUACUGACGCUGAGACGCGAAAGCGUGGGGAGCGAACAGG